rnacentral:rRNA from 1 species
AGAGUUUGAUCCUGGCUCAGGAUGAACGCUAGCGACAGGCCUAACACAUGCAAGUCGAGGGGCAGCGGGGCGUGGCAACACGCCGCCGGCGACCGGCGCACGGGUGAGUAACACGUAUGCAACCUGCCCCCAACAGGGGUAUAACCCGGGGAAACCCGGACUAAUACCGCGUAGUCCGAAUGAGGGCAUCCUUUUUCGGGGAAAGCUUUUUGCGGUUGGGGAUGGGCAUGCGGCGCAUUAGCUAGUUGGCGGGGUGACGGCCCACCAAGGCGACGAUGCGUAGGGGUUCUGAGAGGAAGGUCCCCCACACUGGUACUGAGACACGGACCAGACUCCUAAGGGAGGCAGCAGUGAGGAAUAUUGGUCAAUGGGCGGGAGCCUGAACCAGCCAAGUCGCGUGAAGGAAGACGGCCCUACGGGUUGUAAACUUCUUUAGCCGGGGAGCAACGGCGCGGACGCGUCCGCGUGUGAGCGUACCCGGAGAAUAAGCAUCGGCUAACUCCGUGCCAGCAGCCGCGGUAAUACGGAGGAUGCGAGCGUUAUCCGGAUUUAUUGGGUUUAAAGGGUGCGCAGGCUGCCUGUCAAGUCAGCGGUAAAAUUGCGGGGCUCAACCCCGUACCGCCGUUGAGACUGACGGGCUGGAGUGCGGUUGAGGCAUGCGGAAUGCGAGGUGUAGCGGUGAAAUGCAUAGAUAUCACGCAGAACUCCGAUUGCGAAGGCAGCAUGCCAAGCCGUUACUGACGCUCAGGCACGAAAGCGUGGGGAUCGAACAGGAUUAGAUACCCUGGUAGUCCACGCAGUAAACGAUGAAUGCUAUCUCUGCGGGGCAAAUGUGCUCUGCGGGGAACAGCGAAAGCGUUAAACUUUCCACCUGGGGAGUACCCCCGGCAGCGGUGAAACUCAAAGGAAUUGACGGGGGCCCGCACAAGCGGAGGAACAUGUGGUUUAAUUCGAAGCAACGCGCAGAGCCUUACCAGGGUUGGACAUGGGAUCGCCGCGGCGAGAGAUCGCCGUUUUGCAGCAAUGCAACGAUCCGCACAGGUGCUGCAUGGCUGUCGUCAGCUCGUGUGGUGAGAUGUUGGGUUAAGUCCCGCAACGAGCGCAACCCACGUUUCCAGUUGCCACCCGCAAGGGGGCCCUCUGGAGAGACUGCCGGGGACAACCCGGAGGAAGGUGUGGAUGACGUCAAGUCCUCAUGGCCCUUACAUCCUGGGCUACACACGUGUUACAAUGGUCGGUACAAUGGGUCGCAACGCCGCGAGGCGGAGCCGAUCCUCAAAGCCGGCCUCAGUUCGGAUCGGAGUCUGCAACCCGACUCCGUGAAGCUGGAUUCGCUAGUAAUCGCGCAUCAGCCAUGGCGCGGUGAAUACGUUCCCGGCCCUAGCACACAACGCCCGUCAAG